rnacentral:lncRNA from 1 species
GAAUGUCUAUCGUCUAGUAACCCACUAAAUUCUCCACUCAGCCGCUCCUCUUCCUCCUUUAUAUUUUCCAACUAGGUAUGGUGUGGAUAAUCUCCCUUUUUUUUUUAAAUCAUAUUAAGCAGAGUGGCUAGUAGACUUUUGUUUUUCCUCUUCCGAUGUUGGUUCCUCAACGAAUAUGAGUAGGGAGGGUUUGCACGGAUCAUGAUGUCAAUCCUAUGGUACGAACUGUUUCUCGUUGAUGGCUAGAGAGAUUCUCUAUUUGCUUUCUUCUCGUGCAAGCACCCAUUAGAUUUUUCGAUCUCUGGCAUUUGGUUCAGUCUUUAGUUUUCCAUUCCGAUUAUAUUAUAUAUAUGAACUUGUGUAGUAAAAUUUAAGUGCUCCUGCUCUAGGGAAUGCUCAAAUUCAACUACAUAAUUAUAAGCAUUGGCAAUCUAAAUUUUGUUUACUAGUAUUCAUUUGUAAUGUCAAUUUUGACACUUCUAAUCCUUAUUAAGGAGGUGUAUUAUUGGGUUAUAUAUAAUUAAAUGAUUCAAUUAAAUUAAAAGUUAUUAUUUUAAUAACAA